GGUGUUGCAUGGCUGUCGUCAGCUCGUGUCGUGAGAUGUUGGGUUAAGUCCCGCAACGAGCGCAACCCUCAUCCUUAGUUACCAUCAGGUAAUGCUGGGGACUUUAAGGAAACUGCCAGUGAUAAACUGGAGGAAGGUGGGGAUGAUGUCAAGUCAUCAUGGCCCUUAUGGAGUGGGCUACACACGUGCUACAGUGGUGGCUACAAUGGGCUGCAAAGUCGCGAGGCUAAGCUAAUCCCUUAAAAGCCAUCUCAGUUCGGAUUGUACUCUGCAACUCGAGUGCAUGAAGUUGGAAUCGCUAGUAAUCGUGGAUCAGCACGCCACGGUGAAUACGUUCCCGGGUCUUGUACACAC
rnacentral:rRNA from 1 species